rnacentral:rRNA from 1 species
AUUGAACGCUGGCGGCAUGCCUUACACAUGCAAGUCAAACGGUAACAGGUCUUCGGAUGCUGACGAGUGGCGAACGGGUGAGUAAUACAUCGGAACGUGCCUAGUAGUGGGGGAUAACUACUCGAAAGAGUGGCUAAUACCGCAUGAGAUCUACGGAUGAAAUCAGGGGAUCGUAAGCCCUUGUGCUACUAGAGCGGCCGAGGGCAGAUUAUGUAGUUGGUGGGAUAAAAGCUUACCAAGGCGACGAUCUGUAGCUGGUCUGAGAGGACGAUCAGCCACACUGGGACUGAGACACGGCCCAGACUCCUACGGGAGGAAGCAGUGGGGAAUUUUGGACAAUGGGCGCAAGCCUGAUCCAGCAAUGCCGCGUGCAGGAUGAAGGCCUUCGGGUUGUAAACUGCUUUUGUACGGAACGAAAAGCCCUGGGUUAAUACCCUGGGGUCAUGACGGUACCGUAAGAAUAAGCACCGGCUAACUACGUGCCAGCCGCCGCAGUAAAAC